CUUUCUCUUCAGUUAAUUUGUGAACCGACUUGAAUGUAUUACUAAAAAUAUUGUGGAAUGAAAAAGUAUAUUGUAUUUGUUUACAUGUUUUUACUUUACUGUAGCCUCAUAUAACACUCACACAGCAGAAACAAGUGGAAACUAAACUGCAUGACACAUUGUCAAAGGUUUCCAAGAGCUAGUGUAUGAAUUCAACAAGAUUAUUUAAACAUAUUAAACACAUUUAUUGGUACAUAAAAAAAGUCCUAAUGGUUUCUUUGACUACAAUAAAUUGCAAUACAACAUCUAAUUAUGGCCUCUGAUUUAUAAUGCAAUGGGAAAAUAUGACCAUUUAAAGUUGUAUAUUUAGUUCACUUUUAUGAAUCUGCUCUGUUAGUGGGGUAAAACAGACCAACAAAACAGGAAAAUCUCAAUAACAAUAUAUUGAUGACCAUAACAUUGAUAUUCCAGGCUGAGCUUUUGAAGAAAAAAUAAACCUACAUGCAAAGAUAAACAAGUAAAAACUGAAUAAAAAAUUAAACAGUAGACAGUUCGGCUCAUGUACAGUAUCACUGUAGUAUUUCCAAGCUACACUCAGCUUUGCAUAACUUGCAGGUUACAGUCUUCUUUGUUGUUUAUUAUAAAAAGCUGUCAUUGAGACAUCAGAAGCAAACUCACUCCUGCUGCCGAUUGAUCUUUUAUCUCAGGCGGCUGCUUUAUGUUGACGUCACACUGACUGCACCAUAAUACCAGCAAAUAUAAACCUAACUAACUGGUAACAGAAACCCCUGUUAGCCCAAUAGUCUACACAAACUGUAAUGUUUGCUUAAUUUGUAAGGUAUGUUUAAAAAUAUAUUGUAUUAAAGUAGUGUUGAUGUACUUACAGUACAGUUUGAUGUUACCUCUUCAGUGCACAAACACUAAAUCCUUUGGUGCCAAAAUCAGCUCCAGAGAGCCAGAGAGACUCCACUCAAAAUUGGACUUUCACCCCAAAGAAGUUCAGCUAAAUAAAUUCAAAUGGACUAUGUCGUGGAGAACAGUUUUGGAAACUAGUUUGGACAUUUAUAUCAACUUACUGUACUGUACUGAGAUAUGCACUUUAUACAAAUGUGUACAUUACAAUAAAUUAUAUGAAUACAAUGUACAGUAACAACAUGUCUUCAAAGGGUCCUCGGAUGAAAAUGAGAUGUUAAUCAAGUAGAAAAAGUCAAGUAAUGAGCAGCGACUUAAAAGUUAAAAGUUAAAACUCAUCGCUCAAAAACAAAAGUAAAAUGAAUGCAGCACCCAGAAGCAAAAGAUAAGUAACACCAUACUACACAAUACAUACAUACCAGUAGUAUUUGAUGACACAAAUCCACAGAAUCUCCCUAAAAGAAGUUUUUCUUCAGAAAGUGUCAGUGUCAGAAAGAAAAAUAUUCUAUUCUGCAGAACGAAGGACAGGAACAGUUAAAAUACACCCUUUAGCUCCUUCUCCAACAGUUCCUGAGAAGCCAAGAGGUCGUGGCAAGAUACGUAUAAAAAACAUAACCCUAAAAAGAUGCUCAACGUUGACCACAAACAAGUUGGCAUGUCUUACAUAGUUUCUGCACUUAGCAACACACCACUUCCAAAUCCACAUCUGUUGUGAGUUAAAGAUUCCAUCAUUUUGAGUCAUACAGCCUCACAAAUAAAAAAUGUGUCUCACACCCACACUGGAGAAGUUAAAACUUUUUUUCUUGCCAUACAGCAUUGUCCUCCCUCUCUCUCUCUCUCUCUUCCUUAGCUAAAACCAAGAGUUGUUGUGUAUAUGAACACUGUAGGGUCUAGUUAAAAUACUACAACUUUGCAAUAAAUAAUUAGUUUAUUGCACACAACCACGGGUAAUAGAAGCUAUAAAACAACUUCAACAAACAUCGAGACCUACAGGGCAAGUGGCUCGGGCAGGGCUAUAGCCUGAGAAAAAAGGGAGACAACAGGUAAGCCACGCCAUACCCCCUACACCCACACAACUCAUGCAGUCCCCCUAAAUCCACAACAUGCAUCAGGUAAAAGCUUUUUGAUGCACUAACUAUGAUCUCAGUACACAGACCAGAGACACACAUUACCCACUGGCUCCUAUAUUCCCUUAUAAUUGUUUGUGGAUGUAGCUGGGCGUGACCAACCUUGUACCUAUGGCGGCCGGCAGGUGACAACAUCGGCUAAAAUCCGCCCCAAGCAUUUUAAAUUGGUGCCCCGACAAUUUACUAAAGCCAGGACCCCGUUAAUGCAGAAAGAAGCCCUCUAGGGACCCCUGCACCGACCCUACCCUUUGCAGUCUCUGGUAAGUGAUGGGGAUUAGAAUGUUUACCAGCAUUGUGUGUGUGUGUGUGUGGGGGGGGCAUUUUCCGCCCGGGUUAUGUGGAUCCGCUGCCUGGGUGGUCUCCUUUCUGCUGACCCCCACCAAUUGCUGGGCCCGAUGUGGUGCCAGGGGAUAUGGUCGGGCCGAUGGGGUAGGCCCCGCUCCGCUCGUGUAGGGGUGGUGACCUGGGGGUGGGCCCCACUCUGGGCACAGGAGCAUCGCCUGGUGGGCUCCCUACAGACCGUGGAUCCUCGGCCUGCAUUUUCUCAGGCUGGCCCUCCAACUGGGGAACUGUUUGCCCCUGGUUCUCAAGGGGCGGACAGCGUUGACCCAUACCAUACACCUGUGACCUAACAGGUACUCCCGAAACUUCUGGUCCAUUGUCCACUUCAUAGCUAAGAAUUAGAGUUUCAUAGAGCUGUAAUUUUGUUCUGCUGGAUGGAGACUUCAGCUUGCGUAGGUAAUGGGUCGAACUUUACCAUCCUGCUCUUAAGACAGGACUGCACCAAGGCCGCUAUGACUAGCAUCCACCUCCAAAAUAAAGGAAAGGCUAAAAUUAGUAUAAGCCAGGGGAGAAUACCAGCUAUGACUUGAGUUCUGUAAAGCUGGCCUCACUCUCUGCAGUCCACAUUUUCUCCAAUGGAGAACUCUGACGUUGAUGCUUUUUUAUUGGAGAGGUCAGCCACCAACCUAUGUAGUGGGGUGGCUAAUUUAGCAAACCCUUCAACAAAACAUAUAUAAUAGCUGUCAAAACCUGAAAAGGACCUCAGUUCAGAGACAGUACUUGGUGUGGGCCAUUCUGCUACUGCGGCCACCUUCUUAGGGUCUGUAGACAUGCCUGCAGCAGACACAACAUGACCCAGAUACUAGACUUCUGGUUGGAAAAAUGUACAUUUCUCCAGCUUUACCUUCAGUCCCUGUUAUUGUUAAGGUCCAGGACCAUUUCCAAGCUGCAGAGUUGCUCAUCUGAAGAAGAGAACACAAUGACAUCAUCCAGAUAUAACAGCAAGGAAUGAAACUUCGCCAAAUAUUCUUUCCAUAAGUCGCUGAAAGGUGCUGGGGGCAUUGCACAGACCGAAAGGCAUCCUCUGAAACUCUCAAAUAGGUCAAAAGGUGUACAGAACGCUGUAGCUAAGCUGUAGCUGAGCUAAAUACAUGGUAGAGAGCCACUGGGCUCUACAGGGCAUCCAAUGAUUCUUCAAUGCGUGGAAAGGGGAAAGCAUCCUUUCUCGUUUUGCCAUUAAGCAGUCUGUAAUCCACACAAAGCCUUAGACUACCGUCCUUUUUCCUUACCAGGUCAAUAGGGGAAGCAUAAGGACUGCAACUCUUCCUUAUGACUGCUUUCCCACAUCUGUCAAAUGUGAGCUCUCACAUCAUCGUAGUCCGAUUGUGUGUAUAUAUCUAUACCUUCGUUGAACUGGGACAUCAUCAAGUAAAGGAAUGUCAUAAGUCACUAAAGUGAUACAACCCAGAGCCAGAGGCUGAUCAGUAUUAGGUGCUCCACAGAACGCCACCAGAGAUCCUUCGUACCGGUGCCAUCAGCCUGUACAACUCCUCUCUAAGGAUCGACCUGUAUCUGUGUAGCAGAGUACAAACAUAUGUGUGUGUGUGUGUGUGUGUGUGUGUGUGUGUGUGUGUGUGUGUGUGUGUGUGUAGUCUAUAGCAGUCUAUAGGAAUUGUAUGCAAAUACAGUGCAUACAUACUUGAUUUGUGUGUGUACAGUACGGUAUGUGUGGGUACAUGUGUAUACAUGUAUAUGUAUGUGCUCAUAAAUAUAUUACAUUUAUGUCCUGACAAUACUUUCUGCCAUCUUCCUUUCUGCAAUACAUGAAAUUGAUUGUGUCAAAGUGUGCAAAGCAAUUUUCCUAUGGGAUUAAUAAAGAUUUUUGAAUCUUGAAUUGCAAUGAAAUUCUGCCAAAGUCCCAAAAGUAUGGCCAGGAUUUUAGGCAGCUAGUUGUAGAAGAUGAAUCAUCCAGGAGCCACCACUGACAGACUGUUUUAUCAUUCCUAGUUUAAUGAAUUGUUUAGUUUUAUUAUUUUUCUAUUAUUGUUGUUGGUUAAAGAUUUUGUGUGAUCAUAAUGGUACAGUAUGUGGUUGUCCCCUUACACAUUAAUUUGUGUUUGACAGUGCCUCAGUCUUCUGUGCAAGCUGUUCUGAUGCUACAAAGAGGAACCUCUGUGGGUGCAGAAGGGAAACGCAUACUCUUGUGGGAAAACACACUGAAGACUCCAAUGGAUGAUGACGUAGAAGAAUGAAUACAUUCUACUUUGUUCCUGAAACAUUAAGAUGAAACAUAUUGGUGUUGUAGUAAUGUGACACUGUCCAUGCUGGAUCACCUUAUUCAUUAUUAGUUAUUAAAUUCUUUAUUUAUUCCUCAUUAAUGGUGUCAGUCAGAUUUAAGCUUAACUUUACACUGAGGGUAAUGAGUUUUGCUUUGAUUGCUUUGGGACACCGCUGCGCUCAACUGUACACACUUUAAUGCUCCAUGAAUAUUGCUACCACUUUGUCUUUACACAUGGACAAACAUGAACUAGGUUGCUCUCAUUAUGAGCAGGUGUGAAGGCUGCUAAGACCCACAAACAAGACAAGAGGGAGGCCCAAAUGCACGACCCAUAGACAUACUCAGAGAUACAAAUAGGAAACACAAAGAGGAUUAAAGAGAAUUUAACUUUACAUUUAAAAACACAGAUGUUAUUUUUACACUAUAAUGGAAACAAAACUAACACACAUAGGUAAAUAAACUAAAAAUCACUGCAUAGUGCAAGCAAAACUAAAGUAACAAAAAGCUAAAGACUUGAAAUACAAGACUAAACAGGUGAACCAAACCAAACUAAUUACAGCAAAUGACAAGAAAACAAACCAAGAGGACACUAAACAAACCCCCCUGGUGGUGUGGAAGCUGAGUCACAACAUAUUUUCUAUAGAAUUAAAGAAGAAAGCACUGCAAUAUCUUCAGGAGACAUUUGAAUUAAAUCACUUUGUAUUCACAUUGUAAUUGUUGUUUAAAUACUCACUGGUUUUAUGACAAAAUGAAAACAAAGGUUUUUUUUUCCACAUCAACUUUUUUGAACCAACAGAGGCAACAGAAGCCAAAAAUCCCACCGGUUCCAAACACUGUAGGGUUUAUCUGACUUUUCUUUACUUUGUGCUAUUGCAAGCUUUUACCCAAAUGCCAUCUGAGGUCCUGAUAAACCCAGCAGUCAAAGGGAAGUGGCAAGACACUGGUGUUACAUUCAAAAAUAUAAUUUAUUUAAUAUUUGACUAUACUAGUUAAAAUACUACAACUUUGCAAAAAAUAAUUAGUUUAUUGCACACAACCACGGGUAAUAGAAGCUAAAAAACAACUUCAACAAACAUCGAGACCUACAGGGCAAGUGGCUCGGGCAGGGCUAUAGCCUGAGAAAAAAGGGAGACAACAGGUAAGCCACGCCAUACCCCCUACACCCACACAACUCAUGCAGUCCCCCUAAAUCCACAACAUGCAUCAGGUAAAAGCUUUUUGAUGCACUAACUAUGAUCUCGGUACACAGACCAGAGACACACAUUACCCACUGGCUCCUAUAUUCCCUUAUAAUUGUUUGUGGAUGUAGCUGGGCGUGACCAACCUUGUACCUAUGGCGGCCGGCAGGUGACAACAUCAGCUAAAAUCCGCCCCAAGCAUUUUAAAUUGGUGCCCCGACAAUUUACUAAAGCCAGGACCCUGUUAAUGCAGAAAGAAGCCCUCUAGGGACCCCUGCGCCGGCCCUACUCUUUGCAGUCUCUGGUAAGUGAUGGGGAUUAGAAUGUUUACCAGCAUUGUGUGUGUGUGCAAACAUUUUAGCUGCUUCUCUAUUUGUCUCUUAUGUAACAAUAGAGAUGCCCUCAGGCAGACUAACAAUUUGAGCCUGACGUAAAACACCAAUAAGACACAGAGGAUGCAGAUGGAUAGCUGUUGUUCCUAUGUUAACCAGAGGCACAUAAACUGUGCCCCUCUCUGCUGGAACCAUCGAUGGAGAGAUAAAAACAGAUUCAGGAGCAGAGCGAUCCUAAACAAGAGGCUCUAUCAAUACACUGUCUGUGCCACUAAACUGUUGGGAGCAUGUGACCAAGACCCACUUAACCAUACCAGCCGCUACUGUAUAUACUGUACAGUACGUAGGACGAAUUCCCCUAACUCUGGCCAACCCAGUCUUGGGGGAUUUCAUCUGCCCCUUAAUAUAAUAGCCUGCUGCACUACAGGGAGAUUGAAAGGUGCCUUGCCAUACUGAGUAAACAGCUGCAGGUAAAAUUCCCUUACUGUAUAAAGUUCAUGCCCAACACCCCUGGCAAAUCUGAAGGAGGUCCUUGACCUGGGGGAUCUUUUACAAUCACAACUUCAUUCUGUGGCACCACUUUCCCUCACACCUCCACGACCAACUUCACAUAGUCCACAUAGGGAUCUCUAGCCUACAGUAUUUGCGGCCUGCAACUGCAGCCAGCAGCAUGAACUAGGGGUGCUUUGGAAGUAAUGCUUAAAGAAACUCUAAGUGACAGUCACCAUGGACCCUGUGUCCAAAAGACAAUUAACAGGUACAGUACCCCACCCAACUAAAGUGUUACAUAGGGACCGGGACCUGGGGGCCUGAACCCAGUACAGAUGGGCCUACAGUAUGUCCUCCAGAUGCUUGGCUCCCUACAUCCGAGGGGUCUCAUUUCCUGCGUCCUGUGUUAAACUGCUCGUAGCAACUCGUCAUGUAGAGGGAGCAGUCUGAGUCUGUAAUCUCUGCACUACACAGUCCUUUGCAUAAUGACCUGGCUUUACACAGCACCUGUAUAUGGUACUGUAGUCUCCAGGCGUUUAAACCUAGCAGGAGGGUUAGACGUGGCUUAGGGGGCUAGUACGCUCUGGGUCAACUGGUUAAGAUGUUCUUGCUGCCACUUCAACAUCACCUUUAACUUUAACCCAUUUCUUUUCUGUGGUGAAAUUCCUUCUGCAAAUUGUACAACACUGUACGAGGGAACAGAGUUACUCCUACCUCUACAGGUACAGUAGGCUCAUCAACUUGCCCCUCCCUCUCCAGCAAAUGGCUUCCGCACACACAUCUACUGUAGCAGCGUGUAGUCUGGGUGUUGCUGCACCAACUGCUUGAGUUGACUAGUACAUGUACGCCCCUUGAUCUGCAGAACCUUUAGUCUGUUAAUACAAAGUUUGCACCAUUUAAACUCAAUAAUUACUGCUAAGAGUGUGAUUGUCCUUCAUCAAGUGAUUGUAUACACUACCACAUUGCCAGUAUGUGAAUGGCUGUAGAGUUAUUGUUAUAUCAUAACAGCUAAUAGAUUAAUCCUUCAAGUAUGUGAAAGACAUUAAAUUAUAUCUAAAUACAAACCAAAAACAGAUAAUUUCUCAUUGUCAUUUUCAUUUAUUUCUGUGCCUAAGGACAAUGUGUCUGUAACAUUUUAACCUGUUGCUCUAAUACACAACAUUUUACAUUUAUUUACUAAUUGUAUAUUUUGUUUAAGGGCUUUGAUAUUUAUUUUUCCUGUGUAUUUAAUUAAUUUCCUUUCUUACUUCAUUCUAGCCUCACUAACAGUAAUAUAAGAUGCACAACAGACACAAGUGGAAACUAUACAAACAUCAUGAUGAAAUAGACAAUUUAAAGUUACAUAAUUACUGUUAAUUAAAUAAAUGUAGUGUUAGACUUUUAGACAAUUAAUCUACUUUGCUAGUGUGGUAAAAUCAUUAUCAUAUGAAGACCUACAGAUACUUGAAAAGUAUAAAACUUUUAAUAUAUGGGUCAGCUGCUGGGUUCAGUCAUUGCAAGGCUGCUUUCGUCCUGCUAAUAAACCCAACACCACUACAGCACAUCUAUUGAAACAUUAAAAGACUGUUAAACCGACGUGUUGGUUUAACAGUUGGUUAAUUCAGGGAUAGUUUUGACCUGAACACUUUCCAUGUUCUUCCCAUAUCUUAGUGGGAUUUAUACUGUAUAUAGUAGGUACUCUGACAAUAGUUGAAUGAGAGGAAGUAGAAAGUUAACAUUACUUAAAUCAUAAUCGGUGAGAAACGUGAAUUAUCUAUAAAUGACAUAUAUAUGAGGUAACUGCCCUUACACUAACCUCGUAGAACAGAGACAAUAUUUUACAGAAGAUACAAUUUGAAAAAAAAAAAAAAAACGGAUUUCUCCAGUGUCUCUUUGAUAUUCUCCUAUUUCAGAAUAAUCAUCAUUAUAAACAACAAAAUGUAUAUAAUUAUAUCAGUUUUCAUAGAGCUGCUCAGAGUAACAUGUUAUUCAGUGUGUCCUGUCCAUUGAAAUCCACUGAACAUAACUUGUUUAUUUACUGUUGUCAUUUGGAGUAGUUAUGACUUUGGUAAUGAUUGUUUACUUUUAAUUUGAAAUAGUUUGAAGCUGCUGACAAGAAGACACCACCUGCUGAAAGGAAACCAACACUUCUUUCUACAGGAUCUAGUUCUUGUCUAGAGACAAGUGAACGCAACAUGAAUGGAAUUCAAAAUGCUGAAGACAGAUAAAGGUACAAAGAUCUGCAGCUGCAAGUGCUGAUUUGUCCAGAUCCACGGAUAAGUCGCUGGAGUUAAGUUCAUCCACAUCUGAAAUCAGAUGAUCAGCUUCAUCAAAAGUGAAACCAACAGAACCCAGAGAUGAGAAGUGAAGUGAGACGUUUACCUGCUUAUGAUGUGAGAGGAGUCUCCCUCCUCAGAGGUCCAGAUUCGGGCCACAGCUCUUCAACCAAAGCUUCUGCUUUUUCAAACGUCUCAAAGUCAGCAUUUUGCAUCGCGAUAUUCCCUCCCUUCUCACAGAAUGAAAGGUUCUCUCUCAGCUGAUCAAAAUGCAGCACCUGAAACAGAAAAAAAGCCAGUGAUGAUUCUGACUCUGAAAACUUACACUCUACAAUUUGAUAUUGACUGUAUUUAUUGGCUUCAUGUUGUUUUCUAUAAGAAGCAAAUGCAUUGCUCAGCAGUGAUUGUACCUGUUCUCCUUUAAUGUGCAGAGCGAUGGUAACAUGAUCCCAAACAUAAUAAUAGUCAUCAAUUUCUUCAGCCUCCAUGAUCUUAUCAUCAGGUCUCAGGAUCAAAUUAUAUCUAAAAAGAAAGGACAAAAUCUACCAAUGAAAUGCAGAAGGGCAUGACUAUGAAUCCUCACCUACACAUAAGAGGAUACAUCAGAUUGGGAUUGAAUAAGUUCCAUGACAGGUUUUAGCUUAUGAACAUGUUUCCUGUAUGGGUCAAAUGCAAUGUUUUUAAAUAUGGGAGUAACAAGGGAAUUUGAUAUUUACAUCUUCAUGAAUAAUACAUCAAUCAAAGCUCCAUCCACUGAAUCUGUCUCUCUGGUUCUUACCUGUGUGUCUGACUCAUGGCCUCCGGCCUCCAGAUGAAGCGUCCAUCUCUGUAGACACACACAGCGUUGGGAUCGUCAGCCAGUAGGGGGAACUCUUUGAACUGCUCCUUGUCAUCCGGGCUGUGGACCAGCACCACGUACAUCACUUCCAUCCUGUACAGCACCGUCUUCAAUACUCGCAUGACCGGCUGAGCACCGGAGCAGAACUGGACAGUGACAGAAGGAUUCAGUGGCAGAGUUGGACCUGAUGGCUCCAAAUGUUCAUAUUUACAUGGGUGAGAUAAUGAUAUAACUUGUAUUAAACGCAAAACCUUCUGUUGCAGUGUAGAUGUUUGUCAAAAUGUUCUCAUUUAACUUAAUCAAUGAGGACAUUCUGUCUGACAACUGGUCUGAUCUGGUCUAAUCUGACAUCAGCUGCUUUACAUUACAAUACAUACAGUACAAGUUAUUAAGCACAUAUCUUUGCUGAUCUGCAUCUGAACGGUCUUUGUAUGAAAGCUAUUUGCAUUGCAUAUUCUGCAUUUGACUGACACCUUUGACCAGUAACAACACUUUUAGUACCUGAUCGCUGUAGGCCUUCAGAACUGCAUGCAGUGGGAAGGUGAAGCGGAAUGAGCCCCACAUGGACCUUUCAGAGAAGGACGGGGAGGUGGUAAACUUCCCCAGGAAGGGCUGCUGCCUCUGGACCUGGGCCUCAGUGCGGUCUGGAAAGGUUUUUUCCAGGAACCUUGUCUCUGCUGCUUUUAAAUCUUCAUCAUUCACAGCCAGACUCCACCACACAAAUUCAGCGUAAUCAGGGAACAUGUUUCUGAAGCCUCCAUCCCUCGCAAUUCCUUCUAAUCCAGCUCCAUCCGUGUCAUGUUUCAGAUGUGAUAUAUGAAACUCCACUCGAGGGAACGCCGGAACGUUUUCUUUUGAGAGGUACCCAUAUAUAUGUAGAUUUCUGGCUGUUUCUCUCAGAUCCUCUAGCUUUGGAUGUCGACAUUUGAUACAAUCCUCAUUUUUUCCUCUUCUGUUUGUCCGGAACUCCAUGGUCAGAUGACACUAAAAGGUCUUUACUGUUGGAAGUAUCCACUGUCUGUGCUUUAGGAAGUGAUCACAGGGCAGUUGAGGCAGGCAGUAAAAACUAUACUCCACCCAUCUCCUCCAAACCACAGGCAUAGCAUUGUUCUGAGUAAUCUGCUGCAGCUGAUUUUAGCCUCUGCUUGUGGCAAUAAUAAAGCCAGCUGACUGAAGAUUGAGAAAAUGAGCAUAACUUCAUCUGUUUUAGGAACUUGAGUAUAGUUUAUUGCCCAAAAGCUGUGAGCAUUACAUUGAGUCACGAGUGUAGCUUUACAGCUAACAUCCAACCAGGUGUUCAGAGACAAAGCGCAGGUGAGGUUUGUUAUCACAUAUGUGCCAGGUCCAAGGUUCAAGUCAUCACAGUCAUAUCUGGAAUCUUUGUGUAGCUUUCUGUACCUGACACGAUACAAUACUGUACGUAACUAAAACCGUCUCCCUCAUCUAAUCAAGUACAGGGAGCUGUACAUUUUCAAGUUUUAAGUUGUGUGUAGUUGCUGUAUGUUGUUUUAAAGUUUACAUUCUGCUUUAAUUUUUAUAAUGUUAUAUUAUAUAUAUUUUUAUAUGUUUGCUCCUCAUUAGAAUAAGAAGAUAAAACCCUCAAGGUUAAGUUGUCCUGGAUGUUUGUUUCCUGUUUGUUUCACUUAAUCAAAUUGUAGAUAUAUUUUAAUCAUGGUGCCAGCAUGUAAACACCAGUUGCAUUUACAUCCACCAUUAAACUGUAUGCAGUUCUGAAGGAUAAAACCAAGGAGAUGACGAACCACAGUCCUGCAACUAUCAUGUUAUCCUUUCUUUGAGAGUAACGAAGCUUGUUAAUGGUAAGCUGAGCCGGCCAAACUGAGUCAGCAUAUGAAUCCUUUACACCGUAACAAUUCCAGGUCAUCUGCACCCAAAUGACCUUCUUUAAGUAGAUUCUGGGAUCUUAUACCAUCCAUUGCAUCUUUAAUAUCAUGCUGUCUUUUAGUUUAUUUUAGGUAACAACUCUGUGCUAAGAUCUUUAAGAAGGUUUGUCAAAAGAUAUUUCAGGCAUGCAAAUAAAAAGAAGCUUUCAUUUUCA